rnacentral:lncRNA from 1 species
GUGGAAUAAGUGCUGUAGCCUCAUUGGUCUAGCAGGGGCGGGGGGAGGGGAGCAGCCGGGUUGUUGUUGUUGCUGUUCUUUUGUUUUUGGGAUGAAGGAGAUUUCUCCUGCUAGAUGUAGCCAGUAGGUCAGAGGAGAAUUAAGACGCUGGAAAGCAGCAGGUCGAAGGCCCCAGGCCUUGGGAAGGGGUGGCACAACAGGACUCACAAGGAAACGUACAGGUCAAGUCAGGCCCUUGCCCCUCUGGCUCACUGCUCUGUUCCUGCCCAGAACAGUGCCUAGCACAAAGGGAGUCCUUGUAAAUAUUUGCUGAAUGAGUGCUGAAUCAAGUCUAGUUUUACAAACUUUCUGUAAAAGUUCAGCACAUCUCUAUUUCAUCUCCAGGCCUCAGUGUCACCUCCCUAAGAUGGAGUUAUUUUUUCAAGUGCUCCUAGUGGUCAUUUAGGACCAGGUCAGGCCAGGAGGCCACGUGAGUCUCAAUAGUUAAUGAUCCUGAGCCUCGCUGAGUGAGGCCUGUAAGGAUUGGCACUUGGGGUCGAUGACUUGAGAUCCCAGUUAGUCAUUCUGGCAGCUGCUUCCUGCCUCCCUUCCCUCAUUGCCUUCUGUUUGGGCCUCUCUGUGAUGGUAAGAGGAUAUUGCCUGGACUCAUCAAUAAUUACCACGAGAAGGCAGCUUACACAGCAGCAUGUGUGCUCUCGUCAUUAGACAGAUGAACUGAGUCAGGCCCAGAAGGAAGCGGGACUGACCAAAACCACAUGGCUGCCUGGUAUCAGCUCUCAGUCCAGCCUCAUUCAUGCAAGAAUUUAACAAAUAUUACUGAGCACAUGCUAUGUGUCAGGCACUGUUACAGUGUUGGAGAUACAGCAGUGAGUGAACAGACAAAACCACUGAGGUGGGAGACCAAUCAUCAACGAGAUGAGAAGGUAGAUGGUGAAGGGUGCCAAGGAGAAAGCAGGUGGCCCUGAGAAGGAGAGAGCUGUAAUUGAGGGCCAGACCGUUAUCAGAGUUCAGUCAAGCUGGUCUUGAACUCUGGCUCUGGCCAUGAUCCUCAUCUAUGUGCCCUCCAUUCCCUCCCCCAAGACAAUCCAGUUCAGGAGUCAAGGUCAACUCAAUUCCACAAUAACUUAUAAUUUUCUAGCUGCCAGGCACUUUAUCUGUUGAGGCAAUACUAAGAUUGAUAAAGCAUGAACCUUCCCUUCAGGGAUAUUGAAUCUCUUGUAUGUGUAGGGUGCACAUGUGUGUGUGUGUACACAUUACCUCACACUUGCUUGUGGGAGACAGCCUGGGAUAUUAGUAGGAAGAAUCCUGAACCAGAGCGAGAUGGCCUCGUCCCAAGUUCAUGUGGGCCUUUGGGUCUACCACUUGUCUUCUUGAAGUCUUAGCUUCCAUUGCUGUUCAACAGGGAUAAUGAAACUUGCCCUGUCUGCAUCAGAGGGCUUGUCUGGAGGACCAGAUGGGGCAAUGUCCACAAGUGGUAAAGUACUCAACACACACAGGGGAUUGUACACUCACGAACGUUCACACUAUGUUUGUGAAUAC